GCCUAGCGGUUAAUACCCGCUAGGAAAGACAUCACUCGCAGAAGAAGCACCGGCUAACUCCGUGCCAGCAGCCGCGGUAAUACGGAGGGUGCAAGCGUUAAUCGGAAUUACUGGGCGUAAAGCGCGCGUAGGUGGCUUGAUAAGCCGGUUGUGAAAGCCCCGGGCUCAACCUGGGAACGGCAUCCGGAACUGUCAAGCUAGAGUGCAGGAGAGGAAGGUAGAAUUCCCGGUGUAGCGGUGAAAUGCGUAGAGAUCGGGAGGAAUACCAGUGGCGAAGGCGGCCUUCUGGACUGACACUGACACUGAGGUGCGAAAGCGUGGGUAGCAAACAGGAUUAGAUACCCUGGUAGUCCACGCCGUAAACGAUGUCGACCAGCCGUUGGGUGCCUAGCGCACUUUGUGGCGAAGUUAACGCGAUAAGUCGACCGCCUGGGGAGUACGGCCGCAAGGUUAAAACUCAAAUGAAUUGACGGGGGCCCGCACAAGCGGUGGAGCAUGUGGUUUAAUUCGAUGCAACGCGAAGAACCUUACCUACUCUUGACAUCCUGCGAAUUUGGUAGAGAUACCUUAGUGCCUUCGGGAACGCAGAGACAGGUGCUGCAUGGCUGUCGUCAGCUCGUGUUGUGAAAUGUUGGGUUAAGUCCCGUAACGAGCGCAACCCUUGUCCUUAUUUGCCAGCGCGUAAUGGCGGGAACUCUAAGGAGACUGCCGGUGACAAACCGGAGGAAGGUGGGGACGACGUCAAGUCAUCAUGGCCCUUACGAGUAGGGCUACACACGUGCUACAAUGGUCGGUACAAAGGGUUGCCAACUCGCGAGAGUGAGCCAAUCCCGAAAAGCCGAUCUCAGUCCGGAUCGGAGUCUGCAACUCGACUCCGUGAAGUCGGAAUCGCUAGUAAUCGUGGAUCAGAAUGCCACGGUGAAUACGUUCCCGGGCCUUGUACACACCGCCCGUCACACCAUGGGAGUGGACUGCACCAGAAGUGGUUAGCCUAACGCAAGA
rnacentral:rRNA from 1 species